rnacentral:lncRNA from 1 species
GAGUGUCUGUGCCCAAGCAGGACCAGUGGUGUGGGAGGAUGGAGUGGCUUUGAGAGAUAUCAAAGAGAAGAUGCUGCCCAGCUUGGAUGUGGUGGGGUGAAAGAGAGCUUCCUGGUUUAGGCAAUGGACACAUAUUUGAGGGAAAGAGGAAGAAAGUGCCCAAGACAUCUAAUUAGACUCAGCCUCUGACGCUCACUGGAACCCACCUGAAUCAGCUGCUCCCCAGAAGAAGAUUACUACACACAAGGUGGACUGACCCAGGCCGCUCCUUGGCCCAGAUCUGCAGUUUAGACCCCACCCUGUCAUCAGCUGCCUUGAAGUGGUCUUACAAUCAUGUCCCUGCAGUGCCUGUGGCAGGCAUCAUGCAAGUUGCCCUUGAAGAUACCCAGAUGUCUUGGUGACAGGUUCCUGACCACCUGGAUGAGAGGUGGGCCAUCAGAUCGAUAUCACACAGGGGCCGUGAGCCCAGACUGCAGGCAUGUGCAUGUGAGGUUGGAGGUGGUGGAAAGAAGGCAGAUCCUUUGGCUACGCCCAAAGUGCCUGGCAACAAAGAGUGUCCAGCUCACAUUUCAAAUCUUUCCUUUCCUCUUCUUUCUCCUUCCUCACUGGCUACGGCCAUCCAUAAAGAGCUCCAAGCCCUCAUGCAUAGAGGGUGUUCAAUGAGUGGGGAAGGCCCAGUCUGUGCUGGAGGGACAGCUGCCUCCACGUUCAGAGACCUGCAGCUCGUAAGACAAAGUUUGUCCCCCAGCUGUUUCUUCAUCAUCACCCGGUAUCCCUUGAAAUUUGCUGACUCUUCAUUUUCGUGGUGAGGGGCCUUAUAUUCUGGUUGGAAGGGAGGACGGGGGGAUAGGAAGGAUUGUGAGAAACGUGGUUCUCUAUUUUCAGAAUAAAGAACUUCAGCCUCUCCACUUCCCCAAGUGAGGCUUUCCCUACAGGCACAUUUUCUGGUUCAGAGGCUGCCCAAGAAGGACAGUGAGGGUCAUUUCAAAUCACAUCUCGUUGCUCUCUGAGACCUGGCUUCCCAGAGAUAAGGCGUGGUCGUCUGGAAAGGAGCCUGUUGGAUAGGCGAAGUUCUGCUGGACCACAUUCCAAGGAACUCGUCUGACACUCCACUCUUCUGAGAUUGGCUCCCAUUAGCAGUUACUGGAAACAAGCAGGUUGUCAACAGGGCACGGCCAGGAGUGUGGUGUGUAGUAGAGCGUUUCAUGGGGUAGACCACUGAUGAGGUGCAGACAUGAACCCAGAAGUCCAGCAAGGCAGCAGCGAUGGGCCUGAUAGGGUCUGAGGAUUUCUCCUCCAGGAGCUCCUGGCCGGGCCAGGGCUCCUCUGUCGGUUUGCUCAGCAUCGACAGAGCCCAGCUCGAGACUUAGAUUCUUGAUCCGUCAGAGAUGCACGGCAACUCAACUGCAGAAAGCAGGGUGGGGAAGCUGUAUUACAAGUCAUAACAAGUUCACUGGAAACAUGGGCCAGAUGCUUGCUUCUAAAAAGAAAUGCUCCUCUCAAAGCAGGGCUCUUUCGAGUGCACCCCGAGAUGUGCCUGGGUGGGUCCUUCCUCUGUGUCUUUCUGUCUAUGCCAGGGUCUCGAUGUCUGUAGCCACUGUGAGACACACCCCUGCUAAGAGACUGCUUACAGCAGGGCCGCGCAUCCUUUCUGAG